rnacentral:rRNA from 1 species
UGCAGUCGUACGAGAAAGGGUCCUUCGGGACCUGAGUAAAGUGGCGCACGGGUGAGUAACGCGUGGAUAAUCUGCCCUUCAGUUGGGAAUAACUCAUCGAAAGGUGGGCUAAUACCGAAUGAUACUGCGAGACUUUGGUCGAGCAGUCAAAGAGAGCCUCUGCUUGCAAGCCCUCGCUGAAGGAUGAGUCCGCGUACCAUUAGCUAGUUGGUAGGGUAAUGGCCUACCAAGGCGACGAUGGUUAGCUGGUCUGAGAGGAUGAUCAGCCACACUGGAACUGAGACACGGUCCAGACUCCUACGGGAGGCAGCAGUGAGGAAUCUUGCGCAAUGGGGGCAACCCUGACGCAGCAACGCCGCGUGAGUGAGGAAGGUCUUCGGAUCGUAAAGCUCUGUCAGAUGGAAAGAACCGCAUGGGGACAAAUAGUCCUCGUGUCUGACGGUACCAUCAGAGGAAGCACCGGCUAACUCCGUGCCAGCAGCCGCGGUAAUACGGGGGGUGCAAGCGUUGUUCGGAAUUAUUGGGCGUAAAGAGCGUGUAGGCGGCCUGAUAUGUCAGAUGUGAAAGCCCUGGGCUCAACCCAGGAAGUGCAUUUGAAACUGUCAGGCUCGAGUAGGGGAGAGGGAAGUGGAAUUCCUGGUGUAGAGGUGAAAUUCGUAGAUAUCAGGAGGAACACCGGUGGCGAAGGCGACUUCCUGGCCCUAUACUGACGCUGAGACGCGAGAGCGUG